GGGGUAUACACAGAGAUACAGCAGCUGUGAAAUGACAGCAUUUUUGCCUUCAGAUUGUAGGCUUCAUUUUAGCGUUUUUUAAUCCAGUGAAUAAACUUGGAACUGAGAGAGGAAGGGAAAGUUGUUUGCCUUUUCUCAAGGACAAAAUAGAGUGGGGAGUUCUCAAGUUGCCUGUUCUUUGCCACUAAAUCAUGCUUUUCUGUUUUCUUUGAGUGUAUGACCCUCCCUGUGACAAUGGUUUUAUCCUGCAGUACCUAUGGUAUCUUCAUCAGCCCUUGGUGUUUCAUGAAGAAAUCCAUCGAGUACAGUGAUCUAAUCAGUCAUGGAACAGAAUCCGGCAGCUUCACACCCCUUUUGAUGAGCAGGGGAUUGAUAUUUCUGAUGAGAGGAACAGACUGUACUGCAUGGAAGAUACUACAAGCACUCUGGAGUGGAUGGUGGUAA
rnacentral:lncRNA from 1 species